rnacentral:rRNA from 1 species
GUGUCCUACGGGGCGCAGCAGUGGGGAAUAUUGCACAAUGGGGGGAACCCUGAUGCAGCGACGCCGCGUGGAGGAUGAAGGUUUUAGGAUUGUAAACUCCUUUUGUGAGAGAAGAUAAUGACGGUAUCUCACGAAUAAGCACCGGCUAACUCCGUGCCAGCAGCCGCGGUAAUACGGAGGGUGCAAGCGUUACUCGGAAUCACUGGGCGUAAAGAGUGCGCAGGCGGGCUUGUAAGUCAGAUGUGAAAUCCUGUAGCUUAACUACAGAACUGCAUUUGAAACUAUGAGUCUAGAGUGUGGGAGAG